GAAUACUGUUUUCUUUUCAGAUCAGAUAAGGAUUUUCCCUUUUACUAAAGAUUUCAGUGGAAAGAAAUAUUUAUGAGUUUCUGCCCAAUUUUGGUAGGGCAUGUCCUA
rnacentral:snRNA from 1 species